AUCAAUCGGAUUCGGAGCUGCAGAAGAACUGGGACCAU
rnacentral:sRNA from 1 species